UGUAUAUGGCCCUCAGCCAUCUUGGAUGAGUCUCAAGACUUUUGGGUUUCCACAAACUGCUGCUAGCAGUACACUGAUGUAUGAGAGCAGUGGUGAUGGGAGAGAAACUGGGCUGAAGUAAACCCAAUCUCAAUACUGUGCAAGAGUGUGUGUCAAGACAUCAACAAGUGUAUGUAAAGUAUGUGCGGUGCAUGCAUGGUGUGUGUGUGUGUGUGCAGUGUUAGCUCACAAUAAUGUUCCUUCAGGACAAUUAUUGUGUUGCUUGUUGUGUGUGUGUGUGUGUGUGUGUGUGUGUGUGUGUGUGUG